rnacentral:lncRNA from 1 species
ACACUGCUUUUGUGUGCCAGUUGAGUCUAACCGACUGCUACACCCUCUGAUUUACUAUGCAUAUCUGAAAGUUGACUAUCGUUUUGACUUGUCAGAGCAGAAAGCAUGGCGCUAGUUCCAGUUCGUAGUUUUAAAAAUGGCAUUGGUAGAUUACUAUGUCGGCCUCUGUAGAGCUCUUUCAAGAUUGAGAGCAAGAUUGAUAUAUUCAGUAGUAAUGUUACCAGAGUUGUGUGCCCUAAUUAUGUCUCAUUUCCCCACUUUUUCCACGAAUCGCUAUUUUACCUAAGUUAAACCUAGUAUGUUAAACGUUACGUCACAGGCGUUCUAUCCCAUCAUGCAAUGCGACUUAACUCGUUCUCAAUUUAUGAAGGUUUUUCAAUUCCUAUUAUCUUCUUUUUAGUACACGUUGUCGCAUGUUCAUCUAGAACGACUAUGUAUUUAUGGUGCAUUGCAGUAUUCAAGGUAGCGUUAGUUGAAACCGUCAAUAAGCAAGUGGCAAUCUCCCGAAGUACGUCACGCUGCAACCUGAAGGAAGCAGCGGCUGAACAUUCAACUCGGCCUAACCCACGUCACGUCACGUCAAGAACCUGUCCUGCUGUUUUGUUCCAGAAGCACUGGGAUAAUGCAUAACUGGGAUAACGUUGCGAAGUUUACAUAGCCUUUCUAAGUUUGUUUUUUAUUUAGAUACAUUGUAUUUCUUUGCCAAGAGUAGACCUACAUCAACUGAGCAGAAUCACCCUAUCAUUCUCAACGAUUGGUAGGCGGUUGUUAUGAGUUGUAGCCGAUAUAGACUAAGGGAUGUUUCAAAGGAUGUCCACUCAAAAUGCUGUAUGUUUUCAGAUUGAACAUGUACCUAAAUGUACCACUUCCACAAUGUGGAGCAUCUCAGUUGGCUACUUAUGCGUUCCACAAGUGUAUGCAAGAAGUAUGACCUCCGUUCCUUUUGCACUGACUCAUCAUAUAGCCUAGGUUAAGGUGAUCGCAUUCACAAAACAAUACACACAUUUUAAGACUGUUUACUUUUCUGAUGCUUCACGGAGGCUAUAUGAUGGCCUUCGGUGUUUAUUCUCUAUCAUAUGGAAUGUCAUUCAAAUAUUGAAUCAAAUGCAACAGACAUCUUAUGGUCCCGUUUCCAUUCAGGAAGCAGACAAACCUCACACUUCAGAGCAUUAAACGAUAUUAUAGUCACAGACACAACCCCUCAUAUGGUGGCCUCUUCUCUCUUCAGAGCUAUACUUUUUAAAUAUUUUAUUUUUGAUUUUAAUACCCAGGUAACCUACCUUUCUUGUUUUAUGCAUAUGAUGACCAUCAAUAUACAUGUUCUACUAAUAAAACCCAUUACUUUCAAGUAACUGUUAUUAUA